rnacentral:rRNA from 1 species
CCUACGGGGGGCUGCAGUGGGGAAUAUUGGACAAUGGGCGAAAGCCUGAUCCAGCCAUGCCGCGUGUGUGAAGAAGGCCUUCGGGUUGUAAAGCACUUUCAGUGGGGAAGAAAGCCUUGGGGCUAAUACCCUCGAGGAAGGACAUCACCCACAGAAGAAGCACCGGCUAACUCCGUGCCAGCAGCCGCGGUAAUACGGAGGGUGCGAGCGUUAAUCGGAAUUACUGGGCGUAAAGCGCGCGUAGGCGGUCUGAUAAGCCGGUUGUGAAAGCCCCGGGCUCAACCUGGGAACGGCAUCCGGAACUGUCAGGAUAGAGUGCAGGAGAGGAAGGUAGAAUCCCCGGUGUAGCGGUGAAAUGCGUAGAGAUCGGGAGGAAUACCAGUGGCGAAGGCGGCCUUCUGGACUGACACUGACGCUGAGGUGCGAAAGCGUGGGUAGCAAACAGGAUUAGAUACCCUAGUAGUC